CAUAGCUUUCCUGUGGUGGCUGCUGGUGAUAUUAAACUAUUAGGGUUGACUGAUAUGUUCUAUACUGAGGUCUCAUUGAUUAAAAAAUAAUAAGAAGAAAAAGAAUCAUCAUCAUCAUCAUCAAAAAAGCCGGAGCCCUUUUCUUCAAACCAACCAACACCGAACUAACUCUUCUGUCAUCUGUGCUUUUGGGAAAGACUCAAUUCCUCUUCCUCGCUGAAACAAGCCAUCUCUGCAACUUUCUACCCCAUCUCACAGCAAAGUUCUGCUCAUGACGUAAAGUAAAGCCGUGAGCUCCAGAAAGUCUGACACUGUUCUGGCUCACCUGUUCUUCCCUGCUAUCUGA